rnacentral:rRNA from 1 species
GACGAACGCUGGCGGUGUGCUUAACACAUGCAAGUCGAACGGUAAGGCCCUUUCGGGGGUACACGAGUGGCGAACGGGUGAGUAACACGUGAGUAACCUGCCCUCAUCUCUGGGAUAACAGUCGGAAACGGUUGCUAAUACUGGAUAUGAGCUUGCAAGGCAUCUUGUGGGUUGGAAAGAUUUUUUUUGGUUGGGGAUGGACUCGCGGCCUAUCAGCUUGUUGGUGAGGUAGUGGCUCACCAAGGCUUCGACGGGUAGCCGGCCUGAGAGGGCGACCGGCCACAUUGGGACGGAGAUACGGCCCAAACUCCUACGGGAGGCAGCAGUGGGGAAUAUUGCACAAUGGACGGAAGUCUGAUGCAGCAACGCCGCGUGCGGGAUGACGGCCUUCGGGUUGUAAACCGCUUUCAAUUGUGACGAAGCUUUUUUGUGACGGUAGCAGGAGAAGAAGCACCGGCUAACUACGUG